AUGGAGAACUCGGACGCAGCCGCCUCCCCCAGGGCAGGACAGGCUCGGGAGGCGGAGUCCGGCCUCUCUAUCCAGGCCCCCUCCGUCUUCCCCUUGGCCUCCUGCUGCAGAGGGGCGACUGCCAGGGCAGCCUCUGUGACGCUGGGCUGCCUGGUGAAGGGCUACUUCCCGGAGCCGGUGAGCGUGACCUGGGACUCCGGCGCCCUGAACAGCAGCACCGUGACCUUGCCUGCUGUCACCCUCGACACGGGGCUGUCCACCACCGUCAGCCAGGUGACUGUUUCGGGCGCAUGGGCUAAGCAGCGGUUCACCUGCAGCGUGGCGCACACUCCGUCUGCAACACACACCAACAAGACCUUCCAAGCGUGCUCUGUGAGCUUCACCCCGCCGGCUGUGAGGCUCUUCCACUCCUCCUGUGACCCCAGAGAGGACGACACCUACACCGUCCAGCUUUUGUGCCUCAUCUCCGGCUACACCCCAGGGGACAUCGAGGUCACCUGGCUGGUGGACGGGCAGAAGGACCCCAACAUGUUCUCAACCACGGCGCAGCCCAGGCAGGAGGGCAAGCUGGCGUCCACCCACAGUGAACUCAACAUCACUCAGGGAGAGUGGGCGUCCAAGCGCACCUACACCUGCAGGGUCGCCUACCAAGGCGAGCUCUUUGAGGCCCAUGCCCGGGAGUGCACAGAUUACGAACCGCGAGGCGUGAGCACCUACCUGAGCUCCCCUAGCCCCCUCGACCUAUAUGUCCACAAGUCACCCAAGCUCACCUGCCUGGUGGUGGACCUGGCCAGUGAAGAGGGCGUGAGCCUGGUCUGGUCCCGGGACAGUGGGAAGCCCGUCGACCCCGACCCCUGGAAGUCCGAGAAGCAGUUCAACGCUACGGUCAGCAUCAGGUCCACCCUGCCAGUGGACGCCCAGGACUGGAUUGAUGGCGAGAUAUACAAGUGCACCGUGACCCACCCCGACCUGCCCACAGCCAUCGUGCGCUCCAUCUCCAAGGCCCAGGGCAAGCGUGCCGCCCCUGAGGUCCACCUGUACACACCGCCCGAGGAGGAUCAGGGGAGCAGGGACCAGCUCACCCUCACCUGCCUGGUCCAGAACUUCUUCCCAGCAGACAUCUUCGUGGACUGGCUGCGCAACGGCCAGCACAUGCCCAGCGGCCAGCACAGCACCACCGAGCCUCGCCUGGCUGGCGGCUCCAACCAAACCUACUUUGUCUUCAGCCGCCUGGAGGUCAGCCGGGCUGACUGGGAGCAGAACAUCCCAUUCACCUGCCGCGUGGUCCACGAGGCAGUGACCGGCACCAGGACCCUGCAGAAAACCGUGUCCAAGAGGCCCGGUAAAUGA